GACAAAAAUAAAUUAUGAGUGAAAAGAAGUUAAAAUUGUUCCUCUUGAGCAACUCUCCUGCAUCAACGCUUAAUCCUUCCAUUUUCAGAUGGCUUUCCUACCACGACUGUGGUGCUCAGCUUAUUUAACCUGGAGUGGUUUGGUUGCCUUGAUACAUGAACGACUGAUCCUGCAAUCUUCAGAGAUUAAAUGUCACUUCGUCUUCACAGGUGGACUAGAAGAAAUAAAGAAGACAGGAUGCCAUUGCAGGAAGAUAUUACAAUGCAAGAGGUUGCCUCCAUCUCACUGCUGCUGAACUUCCUACGUCUUGUCCCCAACGUGUUGUCCUUUGAGUCACAGAUGGAAGGCUGGGCUGCUAAACUGCAGGAACCCUGGACUUCCACACAGAAAUGUUGCAGCCAAAUAUAGAUGAUCGAUUCCAGAGCACGUUGGCAACCUUCUGAUGUUAUUUCUGGAUUUGGAGAAGUAUUAUUUCCCACAGGCACUUACAUAGCUGGAUGUUGAUCACGUUUUAGUUGGCUAAUAACAGUUUUGCACUGCUUUGUGUCCCUCACACAGCCCUGGUGACAGGCAGAGGUUUUUUUCCAAGAGUUGGGGCAGUUAAUUGUGUAUAAUUUGUGCAAGUUGUACACUGUAUUUUUUCUAGGAGCACUGUUUAGUAUUUCUUAUAUUGCUGAAUUGUGUUCAGCAGUAAUAAUAUUGUAUGAUUGCAAUACUCCAAUAAUAAGUAAAAAGGAGUUCUUUACUAAAUCCCACCACAUGCUGUAGUAGUUUUCUAACUUCAGUUUGCAUUCUACCUCCUAAAACCCAGACUGACUGAACCCUACCUCUGCCAGCUCUUCC